ACGAAGAAGAAGAAGAAGAAGAAGGAGAGAGAGAGAGAGAAUGUGGGAAUCGAUAUGCUUGACGCUGAUGGCGACGGCGGGGAACAACAUCGGCAAGGUUCUACAGAAGAAGGGUACCGUGAUCCUCCCUCGCCUCUCCUUCAAGCUCAAGGUGAUCAGAGCGUAUGUUUUGAACAAAUUGUGGAUUAUAGGCUUUCUUAUGGAUAUAUGUGGCGCUGUCUUGAUGCUGAGGGCAUUGUCUCAAGCUCCAGUUUCAGUAAUACAACCAGUUUCUGGUUGUGGACUUGCUAUACUUUGUGUCUUCUCUCAUUUCUAUCUCAAAGAAGUGAUGAAUGCUCUUGAUUGGGUGGGGAUUGCAUUGGCUGGGGCUGGAACAAUAGGAGUUGGUAUUGGAGGGGAUAAGCAAAAUGGUUCGACAGUCUCUCUUUUCCACUUACCUUUGCUGGGCAUCUCAGUUGCCUUGUUGUUUGCUCUUCUGAACACAUGGCUUCGCAUCUACAAGAGUCGAAGGCAGGAGCAGGAGCUGAUGCAUUCUGAAGUAAUUGAGGAAAUUAUAUAUGGCUUGGAAUCGGGCAUUUUAUUUGGGAUGGCAUCAGUAAUAUCAAAGAUGGGUUUUAUGUUUUCAGAGGAGGGCUUCUCAAAGAUCAUGGUACCAAUAUGCAUUUCCAUUAGCAUCUGCUGUAGCGCUUCUGGGUUUGUUUAUCAGACCCAAGGUCUGAAACAUGGAAGGGCUAUUGUGGUAUCCACAUGUGCGGCUGUGGCAUCAAUUAUUACUGGUGUUCUGGCUGGUAUGUUUGCUCUGGGUGAACAUAUGCCUUCUUCUCCCGUUGCUCGAGUGGCUCUUUCACUUGGAUGGAUCUUUAUCACUCUCGGGGUUAUUCUUCUGGUGAGUUCAGCUCGAUUGAUGGCCCUGCUACCUAGGCCGUUGCGACGACAUCUGAGAAGAAGCAACCUUGAGAAUCACACUUUAAGAAGAUCUGGUUCCUUACGUAUUAAGGAUCCUAGCCCAAGUGCAGUAAUUCAUGCAUCGACGCUGCAUCAUCUGAUAACAUCUCCAUCAAAAGAGAAAGCCUAGUGAAGUCAUUAAACAAAUAAGAAGUACAUGUUGACCUUUUCUUUUAUUUCUUGGACAACGGUCAGCUUGCUUUUAGACCCUGCGCUAACCUUGUCAUCUUCCCUCCAAUUCCCUAUCGAGGGAAGUGAAGUCUUCUGGGCUUGCUUGUUUACCAGAUCACGUGUCGCCUGCGAACACUCUAAAAACCAGAGUCACGGAAGCUGGAUGCAUUCUCGCGUGAUCCUGUGUCUGAAAAGAGAUUUUAACGAUGGAUUGAAGCAUCGCAGUAUAUGUUGCUUCCACUUCUUAUCGGGUCGGUUGUUCAAGUGGUGAGGAUCUCCUG